rnacentral:rRNA from 1 species
AAUUCGAUUGAGUUUGAUCAUGGCUCAGAACGAACGCUGGCGGCAGGCUUAACACAUGCAAGUCGAACGCCCCGCAAGGGGAGUGGCAGACGGGUGAGUAACGCGUGGGAACAUACCCUUUUCUACGGAAUAGCUCUGGGAAACUGGAAUUAAUACCGUAUACGCCCUACGGGGGAAAGAUUUAUCGGGGAAGGAUUGGCCCGCGUUGGAUUAGCUAGUUGGUGGGGUAAAGGCCUACCAAGGCGACGAUCCAUAGCUGGUCUGAGAGGAUGAUCAGCCACAUUGGGACUGAGACACGGCCCAAACUCCUACGGGAGGCAGCAGUGGGGAAUAUUGGACAAUGGGCGCAAGCCUGAUCCAGCCAUGCCGCGUGAGUGAUGAAGGCCUUAGGGUUGUAAAGCUCUUUCACCGAUGAAGAUAAUGACGGUAGUCGGAGAAGAAGCCCCGGCUAACUUCGUGCCAGCAGCCGCGGUAAUACGAAGGGGGCUAGCGUUGUUCGGAAUUACUGGGCGUAAAGCGCACGUAGGCGGAUAUUUAAGUCAGGGGUGAAAUCCCAGAGCUCAACUCUGGAACUGCCUUUGAUACCGGGUAUCUUGAGUAUGGAAGAGGUAAGUGGAAUUGCGAGCGUAGAGGUGAAAUUCGUAGAUAUUCGCAGGAACACCAGUGGCGAAGGCGGCUUACUGGUCCAUUACUGACGCUGAGGUGCGAAAGCGUGGGGAGCAAACAGGAUUAGAUACCCUGGUAG